ACCGAUAAAAUCGUUUUAAAAGGACAAUUUAGAUGUAUACUCUGAAGACAUGUUGUACUGUUAUUCCGCUAAAAUGGGGAAUGCUUAUUGUAUCCAUCAUCGAUACAAUAAUUGGAGUAGUUAUGUACAUUGAAGGAUUUUUUUGGCUCAGUGGUGUGGGAAAAUAUAUAUAUCCUCUAAUUGUGCCACUUAUCCAUUUUAUUGGAUGCAUACUUCUAUUAAUUUCAAUUUGGUUGCAAAAAAGUCCACUAGUAAUUUGGUAUCUGGUAACUGGAAUUAUUCGAAUAAUAUUCACUGUACUCCAAGCCGUAUAUGAAUUCAUUAAGGAUCUCGAUUUUUUUAUUACACUGUCCAUCUUUAUUUUUAGUAAUCCUUAGCAUAUACUUUUGGAUCUGUGCCUUCUCUUGGUUUAUGGAACUCAGACAACUCGAAAAUCAGAACUGAAAAUUGCUAAAUUAAUCAACAGACUGUAAUAGUUUAGAGACUCAAUAUAUUUGUUGGAAUGUAAUAAAAUUAUUUAAAU